UUAACUAAAAUUUGUAUGGAGUUGGAACGUUUGCCUACGUUUGUCGCUAAGGGCGCUGUUCCAACCGCAUACUAAUUUGAGUUA
rfam:Bombyx mori DNA, contig: Bm_scaf9_contig7760, strain: p50T/Dazao, build 2, whole genome shotgun sequence.